rnacentral:tRNA from 1 species
GAGUACAGCUCAGUGGUAGAGCACUUGCCUAAUAUGUGAGAGGCCCUGCGUUCCAUCCCCACUGCCA